UGAAGAUAGUGAGCUUGAGUUCAGAUGCAAAAGAAGUAGAAGAAAGCCAACCAUGGCCAUGGUAAUGGCCCUCAACUUCAAAACCAAGCUCUAUCAUGACUUUGAAUCCCUCUGUUCCUGCGUUGGCGUUCACCUUCACCGUCUUCCAUUUUCCUCUCUCUCCCCCUUCCCCUACGAAGACCACGACCUUCUAUGUGCAAUCUCCGAAGCAAUCCAAGAUUCCCAGAACAAACACAACCAUGAUUACUCUCAGAACCCAAGACUCCGGCGCAUCCUCCCUUCCCUUACGACGCGCCACGUCGCCAACCUCAUCACCCUCAAUCCUCUCUCCCUCUCCCCUUCCUCCCUCCUCUCCUUCUUCAACUACCUCGCAUCGCGACCCCCCUUUCGCCACACGCUCCAUUCCUACUGCACCAUGCUUCACUUCCUCUACCUCCACCGAAUGCUACCCGAAGCACACUCCCUUCUUUCCUUCCUCGUUUCGCGAAAAGGAUCCAACUCCGCUUCUUCCCUUUUCUCUUCCAUUCUCCGCACCAUGCCUCUCCGUCACCACUCCGCUGGCGUAGUCUUCGAUGCUCUAAUGUGCGCUUACGUUGAUUCCGGGUUUAUACCGGACGCUGUUGAGUGCUUCAGGUUGGUUUUGAAGAAUAAGUUCCCCGCCCCGGUUCGCGGUUGCGAGAAUCUGCUUCGUCACGUGGUCAGGUUGAAACCCCUUGAAGUUGAACGCGCUUGGGGUUUAUAUUUGGAGGUUUUGGAUUCUGGGUAUCCGGCAAGAAUUUAUUUUUUUAACGUUUUGAUGCAUGGGUUUUGCAAAGUUGGUGACGUUGGUAAUGCGCGGUUGGUGUUCGAUGAAAUUCCCAAGAGGGGUUUGCGGCCGACGGUUGUUAGUUUUAAUACUUUGAUUAGUGGGUGUUGUAAAGUGGGGAAUGUGGAGGAGGGUUUUCGGUUGAAGGGUGUUAUGGAGAGUGAGGGAAUAUAUCCUGAUGUUUUCACUUUCAGCGCUUUGAUCAAUGGGUUGUGUAAGGAGGGUAGGUUGGAUGAGGGGAGUCUUUUGUUUGAUGAGAUGUGCGGGAGAGGAUUGGUUCCGAAUGGUGUUACAUUCACUACUCUGAUUGAUGGGCAGUGCAAAGGUGGGAAAGUGGAUUUGGCUUUGAAGAAUUUUCAGAUGAUGCUGGCUCAGGGUGUUAGACCUGACUUGGUUACUUAUAAUGCAUUGCUCAAUGGUCUCUGUAAGGUUGGAGAUUUAAAGGAGGCUAGGCGGCUUCUGGAUGGGAUGAGUGCGAGUGGUUUGAAGCCUGACAAGAUCACUUUCACCACACUGAUUGAUGGAUUUUGCAAGGAUGGAGAAAUGGAAUCUGCGUUGGAGAUUAAAAGGAGAAUGGUAGAAGAGGGGAUUGAACUUGACGAUGUAGCUUUCACGGCACUGAUCUCUGGGCUUUGUAGAGAUGGGAGAGUUCAUGAUGCGGAGAGAAUGUUAAGAGACAUGUUGAGUGCUGGUUUCAAACCGGAUGAUCCAACGUAUACCAUGUUAAUUGAUUGCUUUUGUAAGAAGGGUGAUGUUAAGGAGGCGUUCAAGUUGCUCAAGGAGAUGCAAAGCAAUGGACAUAGACCAGGAGUUGUCACGUAUAAUGCGCUAAUGAAUGGAAUGUGCAAGCAAGGUCAGAUGAAAAAUGCUAAAAUGCUGUUAGAUGCAAUGCUUAAUUUGGGGGUGGCUCCAAAUGAUAUCACGUAUAACAUUUUACUAGAUGGUCAUUGCAAGCAUGGAAGCUCACUUGAUGUUGACACAUUCAAUUCUGAGAAAGGACUUGUUGCAGAUUAUGCUACAUAUAAAGCACUUGUUAAUGAAUCAAGUAAAACUUCAAAAGAUCGCCUAAAGGGAUGAUUGUUACUGAUAUCUUUUAAGCUGAACUGCAGUAGUUGCUGGACCUGGCUUACAGAUAAAACAUCAUCAGAGUAAAUCAAAAGUAGCUCCACUAUCAUCACUGAAGCGUGAUUCCUUGCAAAUAAAAGCCGAAAUUGCUUCUAACUGUGAUUCAGUGGCAUUUCAAUGGCUUUUUACUACCAGAUAUGGAUGCCAAUUUACGGUUUUUUUCCCCUUCUAGGCAAAUCACUAUGUAUUAUUACGGAAGUAGGCAGAUUUUUUAAAAAUUACAGAAAUGGACAAAACGUUAUGGGGGUGCACGUUUUCGUAUGAAGAAAUCGUGUAGCCCCAAACGUUUUCGUGGUCAAGCGGGUCAAAGGGCGAAAUUGUAUGGGGGGUGAACGUUUUUGGUUUAGUAAUCGAUUACAACAUGUUGUAAUCGAUUACUGCAUGCUGUAAUCGUGCAGGGGGGUUACAUUUUUCGUUCAGUAAUCGAUUACCGUAUGCUGUAAUCAAUUAGUGCAUGCGUUGCAAUUUUCUGGGUGUAAUGUGAUCGAUUAUAGACGAAGUGUAAUCGAUUACAUGAUUAAUGCAUUAUGUUCGAGUGAAAUGUAAUCGAUUACAAAGGUAUUGUAAUCGAUUACAGUCCAAAUUUU